UGAAGCCGCAGCUGUCUCUCUCUUUAUAUCGCUCUCUCUCUUUACCUCUCUCUAACCAUCAAUGGCUGCCGUGGCCGUUAAGAAACCCGAUGCCGCCCCUUCCUCUCUUCCCGGUUUCCCUCUUCUCUUACCUAUCCGAAGAAAACCCGAUGCCGCCGAGACAGCCGGGAUUUCAGCCGGCAGAGAACUAGCGCCGUCUCCCAACAUCAACCAUGCCAACACCGCUGCGUCCUCUCCAGUUGAGGUAUUUCUUGCUUCACCAGUUCCCCUAUUAUGCUAGUCGUGGCUUGAACUCUGCCAAAGAGGAUAUAAGUUGAAUAUGCCGGGAUGCACUAAACACCAAGUAAUUUAGUACAAGCGGCCUCUUGUGGUGGAGAGGUUUUGCUCGACUAUUGAAAUUUAAAGGAUUUGUUAAAUGAUGAACGCUCAUCUCAAGAAUACAGCCAAGAGGAUGAAAGUGAUGAUGACUUUGACAACAUAAAUGAAAGUGAUUCUAAUCUUGAUAACGUGGAUGAAAGUGAUUCUGACCUUGAUGGUUGGUAGUUUUAUUGAGGAUUCAAGUUUGAAAUGUUUUGUUUUGGACCAUUUAAGAAUCCUACAUUAUUUAUGUGGAUGUUUUAAAUUUUUUUUUUGUUAUCUUUAAUGAUUUACAUUAGACUUGUAUUGAAUGAUGUUUUUGAGAAUUAUUGAAGGUUUUGAAUAGAAUUUUAAUUAAUUGUGAAAUAUUUUUAGUAA